CAAUAGCGUAUAUUAAAGUUGUUGCAGUUAAAAAGCUCGUAGUUGGAUUUGUGGCGUACGGUGUGUUCCGGGCACUUGUUGUCUGAGUAACCUGCUGUUGCCAUCCUUGGGUGGAACCUGUGUGGCAUUAGGUUGUCGUGCAGGGGGUGCCCAUCAUUUACUGUGAAAAAAUUAGAGUGUUCAAAGCAGGCUUAUGCCGUUGAAUAUAUUAGCAUGGAAUAAUGAGAUAGGACUUUUUUGCUAUUUUGUUGGUUUGCGCAAGAAGGUAAUGAUUAAUAGGGACAGUUGGGGGUAUUCGUAUUCCAUUGUCAGAGGUGAAAUUCUUGGAUUUUUGGAAGACGAACUACUGCGAAAGCAUUUACCAAGGAUGUUUUCAUUAA
rnacentral:rRNA from 1 species